AAUUCGGGAAGUAUAACUAUGUGGCUUGUCUAGCUCCUCUCAUCUUGCACCUGAAUUCGUUUAGGCUUUGAUUUUUAUGCUCGACAGUACGACUCAGUUCUCAAUCGUAUAUUGUUGUGGAGACUGUCAUCUUCUCCAUAUUUUUUUGGUGUUUGUUUCUUUGAUUUAGAGUUUGUUCUGCGUGUUACGAGGAAGUAGGGUUACCUAAACCAGUUACUUCUUUACUGUAUUCGUUGGGUUGAUUUCUUGCUGCUUUAUAAGGACCGCCCAAUGAUGCAAAACCUAUCUCUGAGAUGCCUCUCGGGGUGAAUGAGAGAGACAAUCUUCCAAAAUACCAAAAAUGGCUUUGAGGGUUACUGUGUUUCGAUUUCAGUUUUCCAUUGUUUAUUCCUGAAUGGCUUCGGGCCUGAAACGAGUUUCCGGAGGUGUCCGGACUCGUUUAUAGAGUGGCUGAGCGAAUUGAUAACUCGCUCCCCAUAUCGGCAUUACCUUGAUGAAGUAUCCAGAUGAUAUAUAUCUGUUUUACCCAUAGAGGAUGAGUCGUCGUUUCACAGUAUGUCGUAGCACAACUGUUACCUGAUUGCCCAAUGAAGAAGAUCAUUGUCUGAUGCCCUCUGGGUAUUUGAAGGAGACAAAAACCAAUAAUACCAAAAAUGGCUAUGAGGGCAUACUGUUUUAAUUAAUCGCUAGUCUUUCAACUUGUUAAGUCAUGAAGCUUUGUCGCUUUCCCGCUUCACUAAUCCAUUGCCCAAUGAAGAAGAAAUUUCUCUGAAGCCUCUUGGUGCGUGUAGGAGACAACAAAAAAUACCAAAAAUGGCUAUGAGGGCAAUUCACAGUGACUGACACAGCUCUCUUGAGGGACUGGCAAGAAGUAUUUGUCGGGGAUUUGGAUUGAUUAUAGAUAUGGACUGAAUAACACGUUCACUAUCCAUUCAUCAGAGUGUAUAAUCGAAGAAAACUCUUAAAAAAAAGUGAUGGUCUUAACUGUUAAAUAUCCGCGAUGAAAAAAAAUGACCACUGGCUCUUUCUCACUUGCCCCGUAACCGGCCCCACAUUCGAAUUGCGCAAGACUGUUGGGCUAUUUAAUGAGCGAUUCGUAAUAAUUUACACGUAAGUGUACCCGCCCACCAACUGCUGCAACUGUUUGGCUACAUACAGAUUUGUCAUGUGGGACACAGUGCGUCGUAAUUCUUGCAGUACUGUGUGAGCUUUUGUGAGUCCAACCUAACCGUGAAGUUUGGAGUCGGAUUGUUUGGAAGUUUUUACUAUCAAGAACUUUCGUGUCAGUAGAAGCACCAUCACUGCUCAGCGAAUGAUGAAGUUGGAUCCGUGAGUAAGUGUUAAGCGCAUUCGCGUACAUACUGCAUGAAGCUUGGUAUGUCAUCACUGAUUUUGGCAGUUCAAAGCAAAGCCCGUAGUGGGAAGAUCGACAGCUCUUACACAAGCAUACUUUUGUGUGAUGUGGUGUGUACAUAGUUUGACCGUAUGGUUACUUCUCUCGGAAUCUGUCGACACUACAACUGGCGAAUUAGAAUUCUCUUUUGUUGGAUCGGUGUAUAACGAUGAAAAGUCAUCCCCAUUGUCAACACAUCAACUCUGUUGAGUGCAAUGAACACGCAAUCGUACCCAUUUCAGGUGGAGUUGACGGCAAUUUUUGUUCACGGUAUUCAUGUCCGAAUAGAUUCGAUCCUAUCCAGAUUUACUUGCAUGGCUAAACAACUUUUUUGUAGAUGUAUACCUCCUCUUAGUAACCGGUUUUUCUUUCACGGAAUUCGCACUGUGUACUGGUAUGUUUUGAAUCGUGAACGCGUCUUGUGUGACUCCCUUCGAUUUUUCGAGACUGAAUCUUGGUCUCAUCUGCUUCUGUCAUCAGUUAGUGCCUAAAUUCAUGUAAACUUGGUAAAAUUGAGGCUGAGCAAAAACCCAAAAAUAUUCACUUGUGAGGUACAUGAUUUCAACAUCUUUUUAUAUUCUUAAGACACUAUCAAUAUUUUCCAGGACAUCGAGCAACAGCGCGCCAUCAGUUGUGCUGACGAAGACGGAGAUUGUCGCCUAAUAUUGUUGUGUGGAUGGAACCUCCCAACAGUGAGUUGUGCGUAAUGGAAAAUAUUGUCAUACACUCUGGGAUUCCUUUUUUAGGGUUUCCAAGUGAAACUACUCGAUGUUUAGAUAACCUUCAAUUACUAUAAUAGUUUCAGUUCACGUGAAUUGUGGUUACACUCUACAAGUUGCGACAAGUGUGGCUAGGAGAUUUGACGAAUGGCUAAACCGUGGACUAACAAGCCCGAAAUCGUGUGUGGUCACUGUUUGAUUCAAAAGUGGGUUGAAACAGCAGGACUCGUCUCCAUGCAGGGCAUCUGGGGAGCAGUUGCAGUAACACGCAUAACAAGGCAGCUGUUGAUUAUUUCAAAGCUCACAACGCUGUGGUAACGGCUUACUACCUUUUCUAGCAGCACACUGGUCCAGACCCUCAUUCAUUAGACAAGUGUGCGUAAAAAAGCAUAUCGCAAAGAAUAUUGUCAUCGCCUGAUUAUCACCUUUUUCUUCUUAGAAGCUUGUGAAAUUCUUGGUAUGGUAGCACAAACUUCAGCCUUUUUGGUAGAGAAUAGCUUAUUCUGUGUGCAUCUGUUUUUUUAGGAUAUUGACUGGAAUUCCAAUUUUGCUUCAUGAAUGAUCUUCAUGUUCAAAGCAAGCAUAGCUUAUUCCCCAGAGUUAUGAAUGUGUACAUCUUCAGCAUUGAGGUUAUCACCACUUAUCAGAAUUCUUCCAUUGUCAUAA